AAACUAGGUGUCCAGAGCAAUAGCAGGAUUUGACAGAGGAGAGAACAUGAGGGGUAUUUGUGCCUGACACGGCGACUUCCAAACUUGCUUGCCCUUUAGAAUAGUCUGGGGUGUUUGAAAAUGUCAAAACUCAAGCCUCAUCCUAGACUGGGGAACUCUUCUCUUAAAGGAAACAAAGAUAACAGUAUCUUUCAAGAUCUCUGGUGAUGCCUAAGAGAACCACUGACCGAAACAGCGAAUAAGUAUCUAAUCCUGUAGUAGAAUCAACCAGGGCUUCUAAAUGAGGAGAGAUAUGAUCACAUUCAUUUUAGGAAAAAAUAACUCUAGCAACACUGAAGUCCUGUCGAGUGGGCAGCAUCUGAAAACAAAGGCGAACGUGCAAAGGAGCUAUUGGACGGUGGCUCCUGAGUGACAUUUUUAGGGAACUUGCCCUUGAGUUAUGGAAGAGCCAUUUUGGUCAGCUCUUAGUGUCAAGGUGUGGGUUUAGCCUGCACAUUCCCUGUCUGUAGUGGGGGAAUUUAUAGUACAUUGUAGUUGUUGUGGUUGUUAUUGUUGUUAGGACACGUGUAGUACGGGGCAGAGGGGCAUUCUGAGUGAUGGAGGAGGGGCACUCAUGGUUUUGAGUGUGAGACAAGGAUGGAGAAGCAAGGAUAAAAAUAAUGAAGGUCUAAGAUAAUGCUAGAGAGGAGAUAGCAUCAUAUGCUGAGAAUGUACCUAGGGAGGGGAGAUUAGGCCAUUUUGGAAAAGGAACCAGGUAGAAAAAGAGCAAUUGGUGGGAGGGGGCAUCUGGGGUUGUGGCUCAGCCAACAGAGUUCUUGCCUCAUUUGCUUAAAUCCCAGGUUCCAACUGCUCCCACACAACACUGUACAAAGUGGGUGUGGUAGUACAUGCCUGUAAUUUCAGGAGGGAGAGGCAGGACAAUCAGAAGAUCAAAGACGAUAUAAGCUCAGAUGAUAGUGAGCUCAAGGCCGUCCUGGGAUACAUUAGACCCUGGC
rnacentral:lncRNA from 1 species